CCAGUUGCCAGAGUACUCUCAGUAAGGACUUGCCUCUCCAUGCUUAGACCUAGCAGAGAAAUCCUGAAGAUAUCCUGCUGAUUGAGUUUCACCCUUGUUGACCAGGCUGGAGUGGAAUGGAUGAUCUCGGCUCACUGCAACCUCUGCCUCCCGGGUUCAGGCAACUCUCCGGCCUCAACCUCCUGAGUAGCUGGGAUUACAGGUAUGCGCCUCCAUACCUGGCUAAUUUUGUAUUUUUAGUAGAGAUGGGAUUUCUCCAUGUUGGUCAGGCUGGUCUCAAACUCCCAACUUCAGGUGAUCCACCUGCCUCGGCCACCCAAAGUGCUGGGAUCACAGGUGUGAACCACCACGCCCGGCCAAUUCUGUAAUUCUUAAAAGCUGGUGUGUAGAAUGGGAACAUAGUGGGGUUUUCAUUACAAUAGUUUAACUUUCCCCAUAUUAGGAAUAUGUGUAUGGGUUCUAUUUUAUUCAUAUAAACCUUUAUUGUUUAAAAAACACAAAGAAAUAAAGAUUGAAAGAACAUU
rnacentral:lncRNA from 1 species